GACGAACGCUGGCGGCGUGCUUAACACAUGCAAGUCGAACGGAAAGGCCCUGCUUUUGUGGGGUGCUCGAGUGGCGAACGGGUGAGUAACACGUGAGUAACCUGCCCUUGACUUUGGGAUAACUUCAGGAAACUGGGGCUAAUACCGGAUAGGAGCUCCUGCUGCAUGGUGGGGGUUGGAAAGUUUCGGCGGUUGGGGAUGGACUCGCGGCUUAUCAGCUUGUUGGUGGGGUAGUGGCUUACCAAGGCUUUGACGGGUAGCCGGCCUGAGAGGGUGACCGGGCAGAUUGGGGAAUAGAUACGGGCUGGACUCCUGCGGGAGGCAGCAGCGCGGGAGGGUGGAGGAUGGGCGGCGGGCUGAUGCCGCCACGCCGCGUGGAGGAGGACGGCCUUCGGGUUGUAGGACGCGUACGCCUGUGACACAGCGUGAGGGCCGGGGAUGGGUAGAGUCGGACCCCCCAACUACAGC
rnacentral:rRNA from 1 species